GACGAACGCUGGCGGCGUGCUUAACACAUGCAAGUCGAACGGAAAGGCCCUGCUUGCAGGGUACUCGAGUGGCGAACGGGUGAGUAACACGUGGGUGAUCUGCCCUGCACUUCGGGAUAAGCCUGGGAAACUGGGUCUAAUACCGGAUAGGAGCCAUUUUUAGUGUGAUGGUUGGAAAGUUUUUUCGGUGUAGGAUGAGCUCGCGGCCUAUCAGCUUGUUGGUGGGGUAAUGGCCUACCAAGGCGGCGACGGGUAGCCGGCCUGAGAGGGUGGACGGCCACAUUGGGACUGAGAUACGGCCCAGACGCCUACGGGUGGCAGCAGUGGGGAAUAUUGCACAAUGGGCGCAAGCCUGAUGCAGCGACGCCGCGUGGGGGAUGACGGCCUUCGGGUUGUAAACUCCUUUCGCUAGGGACGAAGCUUUUUGUGACGGUACCUAGAUAAGAAGCACCGGCUAACUACGUG
rnacentral:rRNA from 1 species